rnacentral:rRNA from 1 species
UACGUAGGGUGCAAGCGUUAAUCGGAAUUACUGGGCGUAAAGCGUGCGCAGGCGGUUUUGUAAGUCUGACGUGAAAUCCCCGGGCUCAACCUGGGAAUUGCGUUGGAGACUGCAAGGCUUGAAUCUGGCAGAGGGGGGUAGAAUUCCACGUGUAGCAGUGAAAUGCGUAGAGAUGUGGAGGAACACCGAUGGCGAAGGCAGCCCCCUGGGUCAAGAUUGACGCUCAUGCACGAAAGCGUGGGAAGCAAACAGG